ACUUAUUUUUUUUUCUUUUAGUCUCCAGAGGGUGCUGAAGGCAAGGAUGCAGCAAAAGUAACUAAACAAGAGCCCACAAGACGAUCAGCAAGAUUGUCAGCUAAACCUGCUCCACCAAAACCUGAACCUAAACCAAGGAAAACCACUAAGAAGGAACCUGGAACAAAGGCCAACAAAGGUGCUAAAGGGAAGAAGGAUGAAAAGCAAGAAGCUGCAAAGGAAGGUACUACACCAUCUGAAAAUGGUGAAAAUAAAGCUGAAGAGGCUCAGAAAACUGAAACUGUAGGUGACAAGAAUGAAUGAAUGAUCAUGAAAAUUUUGGGUUGAUUUUAUGUACCUCUCGGACAACUUUUAAAAGAUAUUUUUAUCAAGUAUUUUGUAAAUGCUAAUUUUUUUAGGACUAUGAUAGUUGACAUAUUAAACUGUAUAUGAACAUUUCCCUUCUCAUAACAGUGCUUUUAGAAAUUCCCAUUGUUGCCAAGUAAUAUAAAUAUCAAAUUAAUAUUGCAAGGUAUGUGUAAAAUUGGAUCAGCAUUCCAUACACUUGCUUUAAGAAAUUAAGUCUUGUGCAUAUGGUGAUGUUUUUACUGUGCGUAUUUGAAUUUUUCAUGCAGUUUUUCUAGAGCAAUAAUCAGUGGUGCUUUUGUACUUAGGGUUUAUGUGAUUUUAAUGAAACAUGGAUAGAUGUGGCCACCUGCUGACUAUUUUGGGUUCUUUUAAUGGAUUAAAAUAAAAGGUCUCCUUGCCUGCAAAACUACAGCCUCCUAAUGUUUUCUCUAAAUCUGAGGAAUGCCUUACUCAUAUUUUCAACUAUUACAAGGAAAACUAAGUGAUUUAGCAAAUGUUGUGUUUUGCAUGCAGUCUGUUUGCUUUGUUGCUGACCUCUGAUUUAAAAAAUACCACAUAGGAGUAGCAGGUUGGGAUUUUCAGUGGCCCACAAGUUAAGGCACUUAUGAAUAAUUUCUUCAGAUAAUCUGUCACAGGGCGAGUAGAGUUGCCAUAGUGUUAUCAGAAUAUUGUGUCUACAGUGAGAUAUCAACACAGAAUGAAUGGCUUGAUUGCUACAGAUGUACAGUAAUUAUUACGAGCAGCUUUGUUUCUCCCCCACUCCCUUUUCAUUAACUAGAGCAGACUUGGAUCCUACUCUGUGGAAAUGGUUGUUUCUAUCUGAAGCCUCCAAUUUAUUAUAAACUAGUAAUUGCUGUUCUGCUUCAGCUGAGGACAGUUGUUAAUAUAUUGAAAUUGCUGUUAAACAGCACUAUAUAUUUGGUACUCGGUAGAGAUGGAACAAUGAAAGUUAUUUUUGAGGUGAUUGUGGCAAUAUGGUGAAUCAGCUAAGGAUUUUUAGUAUCUAUGUUUCAAAUCUCCAGCUCAUUCUAAGCGCCUUUGAUAAUUUUUCUCCUCCUUACUCUUUUCUCUAGGGACCCUGGGUAUUUCUAUUGUUACUUCUGGGGUGGGAGGGAUGAGAGAAAAGAUGUUCCCUGUUCUUCAGUAGCAUUGAUUUGUAUUGCUCAAGUGGUGGCCAUUAUGUCUGAGGAUACUUUUGCUUGUUUAAGUCAAUAAAUAAAUGACUGCUGCCUGA